rnacentral:rRNA from 1 species
AUACGGAGGGUGCAAGCGUUACUCGGAAUCACUGGGCGUAAAGCGCGCGCAGGCGGCCAUUUAAGUUGGAUGUGAAAGCCUACGGCUUAACCGUAGAACUGCAUCCAAAACUAUUUGGCUAGAGUGUGGGAGAGGAAGAUGGAAUUAGUUGUGUAGGGGUAAAAUCCGUAGAGAUAACUAGGAAUACCAAAAGCGAAGGCAAUCUUCUGGAACACUACUGACGCUGAGGCGCGAAAGCGUGGGGAGCAAACAGGAUUAGAAACCCCUGUAGUCC